CCGCACGGGUGAGUAACACGUAUCAACCCUGCCGUCUACUCUUGGACAGCCUUCUGAAAGGAAGAUUAAUACAAGAUGGCAUCAUGAGUCCGCAUGUUCACAUGAUUAAAGGUAUUCCGGUAGACGAUGGGGAUGCGUUCCAUUAGAUAGUAGGCGGGGUAACGGCCCACCUAGUCUUCGAUGGAUAGGGGUUCUGAGAGGAAGGUCCCCCACAUUGGAACUGAGACACGGUCCAA
rnacentral:rRNA from 1 species